rnacentral:rRNA from 1 species
GACGAACGCUGGCGGCGUGCCUAAUACAUGCAAGUCGAGCGGAUGACGGAGGAGCUUGCUCCUCUAGAUUCAGCGGCGGACGGGUGAGUAACACGUGGGCAACCUGCCCUGUAGAUUGGGAUAACUCCGGGAAACCGGGGCUAAUACCGAAUAAUCCUUCGGACCUCAUGGUCCGAUGUUGAAAGACGGCUCCGGCUGUCACUACAGGAUGGGCCCGCGGCGCAUUAGCUAGUUGGUGAGGUAACGGCUCACCAAGGCGACGAUGCGUAGCCGACCUGAGAGGGUGAUCGGCCACACUGGGACUGAGACACGGCCCAGACUCCGACGGGAGGCAGCAGUGGGGAAUCUUGCGCAAUGGGCGAAAGCCUGACGCAGCAACGCCGCGUGGGGGAUGACGGCCUUCGGGUUGUAAACCUCUUUCGGUAUCGACGAAGGGGUCCUUGUUGGGGCUCUGACGGUAGGUGCAGAAGAAGCACCGGCUAACUACGUGCCAGCCGCCGCGGUAAUAC